rnacentral:rRNA from 1 species
UACGUAGGGUGCAAGCGUUGUCCGGAAUUAUUGGGCGUAAAGAGCUCGUAGGUGGCUUGUCACGUCGGGUGUGAAAUCCCGGGGCUUAACCCCGGGUCUGCAUUCGAUACGGGCUGGCUAGGGUCCUUCAGGGGAGACUGGAAUUCCUGGUGUAGCGGUGAAAUGCGCAGAUAUCAGGAGGAACACCGGUGGCGAAGGCGGUGCUCUGGGCCAGUACUGACGCUGAGGAGCGAAAGCGUGGGUAGCAAACAGG